UCCAGUAAGAGAGCAGAGAUAGAGAAGACAGAGAGGGAAAUGGGAGUGCCGGACUCCGGCGGCGGCGGAGGAGAGAGGGAGGGACGGUGAGUGUGUGUGCGAGUUGGUGUAGGGAUGGCAAUGGAUCCGAGACCCGGUCCAGAUCCGCGGAUCUAGACCCUUUUUUUCGGAUCUGGACCUUGCAAAAUUUGGACCCGGCGGAUCUGGACCGGAUCUGGACCACUCUCUAAAAAAUCGGAUCCGGAUCUGGAGUAGUAGAUAGAAAACCCAGAUCCGGUCCAGAUCCGGAUCUGGACCCGGUUAUAAUUAAUAUAUAAUAUUUUUAUUUUUUAUUUUUUCCAACCCCUAAACAUAACAAUUCAAUUUCAGAUUUCAGAUACCCUAGCCCUACUUCUUCCCACCCACCGCGCCGCUCAUCUAUCCCUCACCCGCGCCGCUCACCUAACUUCCGGCGGUCCACCUCCGAUCUUGGCUGCUCCUGUCUCCCCCACCCGAAAUCCCUCUCGGCGGUCUUGGACAGUCCAGACGCAAGGCAACGGCGACCACCGCACCAUCUACAUACACCUUCGUGUUCGUCCACCUCCGGUCUGAGCCCCUCCGUCUCCGUCCACCUUCGGUAUCGGCCCCGCUACUCUUCGGCCGCUGCUCAUCCUCCCAAGUCCCAGAAAAUGGAAGAACAAUCCAUUAAUUCAAAUAGUGAAACUGUUCACUCUCAAACACCAAAUGAUGGGGCAACCGGCGUGGUUGAAGGCUUUGUUGACCUUCAAGAGGGAGAUAACAAUACCAGUGAGGUUUCCAAAGAAAAUGAAGCAAAUCCAAUUAGUGGUGUUUGGUUUUAAAUGGAGUAUGGUGUUCUUAUUUAUUUUAGAUUGUUUAGUUUUAAAUGGAUUAUGAUGUAUUUUUUGUUCUUGAAUGAUUGUUGAAACUUUAGACAAUUGUUAUGAUUUUUAUUUUAAUGUUUAA